AAAAAGAGCUUCUGUUGUGAGUGACACAUAUAGGGCAGCUUGAUUGCUCUAUGCAUGGAAUAAAAAUCAAGAGAUUUCUGAAGCAAAAUUUUUUGGUAUCUGGACAGCUGAUGAUUGUUGGUUCUGGCACCCAU